rnacentral:lncRNA from 1 species
GCCACCCGCCGCCGCGCCGGGAAAAUUUCCGACCGCCGAUCGAGGUUGACCGGAGCCGAAUCACCAAAACACGAACCUCACCGGAGAGCCGCCGCACCCGAGAGCGCCGCCGCCGAUACCAGUAGUGCGUUUCAGUUCCCCGAGAAAAAUUCAGGGAAAAUUAGGGAUAGCCUGCAAGCGCACUGCAAAGCCGUGUUCGGACCCCGAAAC